UGGGGAAUAUUGCGCAAUGGGGGAAACCCUGACGCAGCGACGCCGCGUGCGGGAUGAAGGCCUUCGGGUUGUAAACCGCUUUUGAUUGGGAGCAAGCCUUUUGGGUGAGUGUACCUUUCGAAUAAGCGCCGGCUAACUACGUGCCAGCAGCCGCGGUAAUACGUAGGGCGCAAGCGUUAUCCGGAAUUAUUGGGUUUAAAGGGAGCGUAGGCCGUUUGGUAAGCGUGUUGUGAAAUGUAGGAGCUCAACUUCUAGAUUGCAGCGCGAACUGUCAGACUUGAGUGCGCACAACGUAGGCGGAAUUCAUGGUGUAGCGGUGAAAUGCUUAGAUAUCAUGAAGAACUCCGAUUGCGAAGGCAGCUUACGGGAGCGCAACUGACGCUGAAGCUCGAAGGUGCGGGUAUCGAACAGG
rnacentral:rRNA from 1 species